GCACGAAAACUUUACACUGCGGGAAACCGCGAUAAGGGGACCCCGAGUGCCAGCACCUAGUGCUGGCUGUCCAGCUGUUCAAAAAACAGUUGUUAGCAAGGGCCGGGCAAGACCGGUGCCAGCCGCCGCGGUAACACCGGCGGCCCGAGUGGUAGCCGUUAUUAUUGGGUUUAAAGGGUCCGUAGCCGGCCUAUUAAGUCUCUUGGGAAAUCUGGCGACUCAAUCGUCAGGCGUUCAAGAGAUACUGGUAGGCUUGGGACCGGGAGAGGUGGGAGGUACUCCAGGGGUAGGGGUGAAAUCUCGUAAUCCUUGGGGGACCACCGGAUGGCGAAGGCAUCCCACCAGAACGGGUCCGACGGUGAGGGACGAAAGCUGGGGGCACGAACCGGAUUAGAUACCCGGGUAGUCCCAGCUGUAAACGAUGCUAGCUAGGUGUUGGGUCGGCCACGCGCCGCCCCAGUGCCGCAGGGAAGCCGUUAAGCUAGCCGCCUGGGGAGUACGGCCGCAAGGCUGAAACUUAAAGGAAUUGGCGGGGAGCACACCAGGCGUGAAGCCUGCGGUU
rnacentral:rRNA from 1 species